rnacentral:rRNA from 1 species
GACGAACGCUGGCGGCGUGCUAACACAUGCAAGUCGAACGGAAAGGCCCUGCUUUUGUGGGGUGCUCGAGUGGCGAACGGGUGAGUAACACGUGAGUAACCUGCCCCUGACUUUGGGAUAACUUUAGGAAACUGGGGCUAAUACCGGAAAGGAACUCCUGCUGCAUGGUGGGGGUUGGAAAGUUUCGGCGGUUGGGGAUGGACUCGCGGCUUAUCAGCUUGUUGGUGGGGUAGUGGCUUACCAAGGCUUUGACGGGUAGCCGGCCUGAGAGGGUGACCGGCCACAUUGGGACUGAGAUACGGCCCAGACUCCUACGGGAGGCAGCAGUGGGGAAUAUUGCACAAUGGGCGGAAGCCUGAUGCAGCAACGCCGCGUGCGGGAUGACGGCCUUCGGGUUGUAAACCGCUUCCGCCUGUGACGAAGCGUGAGUGACGGUAAUGGGUAAAGAAGCACCGGCUAACUACGUG